rnacentral:rRNA from 1 species
GGGGCAGCAUGGUGUAGCAAUACACUGAUGGCGACCGGCAAACGGGUGCGGAACACGUACGCAACCUUCCUUUAACUGGAGAAUAGCCCGGGGAAACCCGGAUUAAUACUCCGUAACAUUAUGAAGUGGCAUCACUUUAUAAUUAUAGCUCCGGCGGUUAAAGAUGGGCGUGCGCCUGAUUAGGUAGUUGGCGGGGUAACGGCCCACCAAGCCUACGAUCAGUAACUGGUGUGAGAGCACGACCAGUCACACGGGCACUGAGACACGGGCCCGACUCCUACGGGAGGCAGCAGUAAGGAAUAUUGGUCAAUGGACGCAAGUCUGAACCAGCCAUGCCGCGUGGAGGAUGAAGGUCCUCUGGAUUGUAAACUUCUUUUAUUUGGGAAGAAACCCCCGAUUUCUAUUGGGGUUGACGGUACCAGAUGAAUAAGCACCGGCUAACUCCGUGCCAGCAGCCGCGGUAAUACGGAGGGUGCAAGCGUUAUCCGGAUUCACUGGGUUUAAAGGGUGCGUAGGCGGGUUGGUAAGUCCGUGGUGAAAUCUCCAAGCUUAACUUGGAAACUGCCGUGGAUACUAUCAAUCUUGAAUUUAGUGGAGGUGAGCGGAAUAUGUCAUGUAGCGGUGAAAUGCUUAGAUAUGACAUAGAACACCCAUUGCGAAGGCAGCUCGCUACACUAUUAUUGACGCUGAGGCACGAAAGCGUGGGGAUCAAACAGGAUUAGAUACCCUGGUAGUCCACGCCCUAAACGAUGAUUACUCGACAUCAGCGAUACACUGUUGGUGUCUGAGCGAAAGCAUUAAGUAAUCCACCUGGGAAGUACGACCGCAAGGUUG